rnacentral:misc_RNA from 1 species
GGUAAAUACAAGUAAAACUAAGAUGCGUAACUAUAUAAGAAGCAUAAAUAUAAACACAGAAACCUAUAGAUUGAGUAAACCAAUACUUCAUAUUAUAAAUGUAACAACAAACCUAACAUAUAAGAAAAUUUUCUUCAAAAAAUAUGCAAGAAAUAAUAAUUAACACUCACCUUUUGCAAUAACUAAUUGUUGAGAAUAGAAAAUUAUGAUGAUAUUACCUUAAAAAAGGAUAAGAGAGAGAUUUGUAGAAAGAGGAGGAAAUAUAGGUGAAAUUUUGAGAGAAAAUG